GAUAUAUGGUAGUUUUUUUUAUUUUUUUUAGAGUAAAUUGCAUGUUUGGUCCUCAAACUAUGAGGCGGGUGACACUUUGCUCUCAAACGUUAUUAUAAUUUUUAACUAGAACUUUCAAAAUUUUUACAAUCAAGUCGCACAACCUAAUUAAAUUGACUAAACGUAUAUUACUGAUAUGAAAGUGAUAUAGCAUCUUAACUAUUGGCUUAUCAUAAAGCAUAAUUAGGUUGAUACAUUACUGCUACAUCACUUGUACAUUAAUGACGCAUUAGUAUUUAAUCAAAUAAAUUAGAUUAUAGUGCCUGAUUACAAUAAUUCUGAAAGUUAUAGCUAGAAAUUAUAAUAAAUUAAUUAAAGUUUUUGAGG
rnacentral:lncRNA from 1 species